rnacentral:rRNA from 1 species
AUUGAACGCUGGCGGCAGGCCUAACACAUGCAAGUCGAACGAGUUGCGGACGGGUGUGUAAUGUCGGGGAAACUGCCUGAUGGAGGGGGAUAACUCCUAGACACGGUAGCUAAUACCGUAUACUCUGAGAUGCGCCCAGAUGGGAUAAGCUUGUUGGUGGGGUAACGGCUCACCAAUGCGACGAUCCCUAGCUGGUCUGAGAGGAUGACGUGCCACCCUGAAACUGUGACACUGUCCAGACUCCAACGGAAGGCAGCAGUGGGGAAUAUUGCGCAAUAGGCGCAAGCCUGUUGCAGCAGUGCCGCGUGUAUGAGGAAGGCCUUCGGGUUGUAAAGUACUUUCAGCGGGGAGGCGUUACCCGCAGAAAAAGCACCGGGUAACUCCGUGCCAGCCGCCGCGGUAAUUC